CAAAUAACAAGUUUUAUUUUUAACACUGUGAAGGAAACCAGGAUGCAAAUUCCCAGAGUUGCACCUACAGUGGGCAUGUGGAGCUGAUUUUCACCAGCUGAUGAGCUUUAACUGCCAGUGCCCUGCUGACUGUAGGACUGGGGUUUCCAAUCAGGUCUGGCCAAAACAUAGCUGGCUUAUCCCUCUCAAGUUGUGAGCCACUGGAACAGCAGCCCCUGGGCUAUGGGAUUCAGCUGACUUGUUUAGACAGUGAGGCUGGAGAAUGAUGGGAAGCAGCUGGGGAAUAAAGGUUUUCCUGCUGAGCCCAGGGAAAGGUGGGAUUGCUGGGGUUUUCCUGCUUAUUCUCUUCCUGAUGGUUCUACUGGUCCUCCUCCUGUCUAAGGCUCCUUCAGGAGACAAAAACAUCCAUCUCACCGUAGCUCCUCUGACAGAAUGAGUAAGUGUGUGAGCUGUUCCUCAGCAUGGGAACUGCUGCUGCUGAUCUCUGUCCCCCUGCACACAAGCUGCUGAGGGUCCCAUUGCUGCACAUUCCCCUCUCUCCAUGGAGGGCAGCCAAGCACUUUUCUUUUGAGGAUGAUGAAUGUGCAAAACAGUUUUGAACGCUUCAGCUUUAAACAAAGCACUCUCCAAAGCUCCCUUCUGCCUUGGGCAGCCAACCACAAGUCUCCCUGGUGGAAACCUGGCAGCUUCCAUGAGCUCCUUUUGCAGGGCAGGAGGUGGGAGCCCAUGUGGACAUUGAGCAGCAGCUGUAGUCCCCCAGACUCUGGACACACUGACACAGGUUUGAAUGUGUCUGACUUGGCUGGUAUGUCCUGAAGACACUUGCUUGCAUAAAUAAAUUUCAAGUUAG
rnacentral:lncRNA from 1 species